GGAGGUUUAGCUCAGCUGGGAGAGCACCUGCCUUACAAGCAGGGGGUCACAGGUUCGAACCCUGUAAUCUCCA
rfam:Lactobacillus backii strain TMW 1.1989, complete genome.